rnacentral:lncRNA from 1 species
GCGUAAUGUUGGGCACUCCCAUAUAUGCGGUAAGUAUUGUUGAUACGAUAGUAGGGCCAGUCCCUAUGAUCUUUACCACAGUGUUGGCAAGUCCUACUACGUUCUAUUGUACAAACCUAAAGAUGAGACUAAGUCAUAGGCCUAGGUCUCUUAUUUUGUUGAACAGGUGCAGUAGGUGCUAAUCUGCGGUAUGAAGCCGAG